GAUGAACGCUGGCGGCGUGCCUAAUACAUGCAAGUAGAACGCUGAAGCUUGGUGCUUGCACCGAGCGGAUGAGUUGCGAACGGGUGAGUAACGCGUAGGUAACCUGCCUCUUAGCGGGGGAUAACUAUUGGAAGCGAUAGCUAAUACCGCAUACAAGUCGAUCUCGCAUGAUAUUGAUUUGAAAGGUGCAAAUGCAUCACUCAGAGAUGGACCUGCGUUGUAUUAGCUAGUUGGUGAGGUAACGGCUCACCAAGGCGACGAUACAUAGCCGACCGGAGAGGGUGAGCGGCCACACUGGGACUGAGACACGGCCCAGAGUCCUACAGGAGGCAGCAGUAGGGAAGCUUCGGCAAGGGGGGCAACCCUGACCGAGCAACGCCGCGGGAGUGUAGAAGGUUUUCGGAUCGGAAAGCUCGGUUGUAAGAGAAGAACGAGUGUGAGAGUGGAAAGUUCACACUGUGACGGUAACUGACCAGAAAGGGACGGCUAACUACGUG
rnacentral:rRNA from 1 species